CCGCUGGCAACAUCGGUCCAAUCCUUAAAGUCAUCCUCAGUUCGGACUGGGGUCUGCAACCCGACCCCACGAAGCUGGAUUCGCUAGUAAUCGCGCAUCAGCCAUGGCGCGGUGAAUACGUCCCCGGGCCUUGUACACACCGCCCGUCAAGCCAUGAAAGCCGGGGGCGCCUGAAGUCCGUGACCGCGAGGGUCGGCCUAGGGUGAAACCGGUGAUUGGGGCUAAGUCGUAACAAGGUAUC
rnacentral:rRNA from 1 species